rnacentral:misc_RNA from 1 species
GAUGAAGAACGCAGCGAAAUGCGAUACGUAAUGUGAAUUGCAGAAUUCAGUGAAUCAUCGAGUCUUUGAACGCACAUUGCGCCCUCUGGUAUUCCGGAGGGCAUGCCUGUCCGAGCGUCAUUGCUGCCCUCAAGCACGGCUUGUGUGUUGGGCUCCGUCCCCCGAUCCCGGGGGACGGGCCCGAAAGGCAGCGGCGGCACCGCGUCCGGUCCUCGAGCGUAUGGGGCUUUGUCACCCGCUCUGUAGGCCCGGCCGGCGCUUGCCGAUCAACCAAAUUUUUAUCCAGGUUGACCUCGGAUCCGGUAGGGAUACCCGCUGAACUUAAGCAUAUCAAUAAGCGGAGGA